rnacentral:misc_RNA from 1 species
GAUGAAGAACGCAGCGAAAUGCGAUAAGUAAUGUGAAUUGCAGAAUUCAGUGAAUCAUCGAAUCUUUGAACGCACAUUGCGCCCGCCAGUAUUCUGGCGGGCAUGCCUGUCCGAGCGUCAUUUCAACCAUCAAGCCCCGGGCUUGUGUUGGGGACCUGCGUCCGACGCAGGCCCUGAAAACCAGUGGCGGGCUCGCUGUCCACACCGAGCGUAGUAACUAACCUCGCUAUGGAGUGGCGCGGGCGCCUGCCGUAAAACCCCCCAACUUUUUAUAGUUGACCUCGAAUCAGGUAGGACUACCCGCUGAACUUAAGCAUAUCAAUAAGCGGAGGA